UCCCUGGUCCGGGGAGAUUCCACAUGCCUCGGAGCAACUAAGACCAUGGGCCACAACUACUGAGCCUGCUGCAGAUACUGAAGCCCGUGUGCCGAGAGCCCAUGCUCUGCAACAAGAGGAACCCCUGCAGUAAGAAGCCUGAGUACCCUGGAGCCUGUGAUCCACAAUGAGAGAAGCCUGUGAGCCGUAACGAAGAGUAGCCCCCGCUCGCCAAAGCUAGGGAAAGCCCGUGCACAGUAAUGAAGACCCAGGGCAACUGAAAAUAAAUAAAUAAUAAAUUUAAAAAACUGCUUGCAGAUCAGAAAUGACUAUUUUUCCUACCUUUGGUCUUUCCACAGAGCAACUGGUUUCAUAAGAUAAAGAAACUGAACCCCACCGAGGAAGCGGCCCUCCUUCCCUGGCCCUGCCCCUGGCCUCUGGGUCAGAAUCUAGGCCUCUGGACACAGCAGAGGGAUCCUCUGGGAGGAGCGGCUGGUCAGGGACCAGACUGGGUACAGCCUAGCAGGCUGCUGUCCAGGGAGGGAACUGUCAUCAAUGACGACGGUAAUUUGCAUUUCUUUGGAGCCUUUUAUCUAGCUAUGUCAAA
rnacentral:lncRNA from 1 species